rnacentral:rRNA from 1 species
UACGUAGGUGACAAGCGUUGUCCGGAUUUACUGGGCGUAAAGAGCGCGCAGGCGGUCGGUCAAGUCGAGUGUGAAAGCCCCCGGCUCAACUGGGGAGGGUCAUUCGAUACUGAUCGACUCGAAGGCAGGAGAGGGUAGUGGAAUUCCCGGUGUAGUGGUGAAAUGCGUAGAUAUCGGGAGGAACACCAGUGGCGAAGGCGGCGACCUGGGUCGAUACUGACGCUGAGGCGCGAAAGCGUGGGGAGCAAACAGG